rnacentral:misc_RNA from 1 species
GUGAAUCAUCGAAUCUUUGAACGCAAAUUGCACUCUCCUCGGAGAGUAUGCCUGUUUGAGGUUCAGCCUAUAAAAAAUCGACAUCGUUGCUGUUUCGCGGUGACGUUCGUCGGAAAUUGGGUCAUCUUAAGUCCUUUUGGUUUUAAGGGACUUAAAAUUUUCUUUUUGGUUCCAUGGACGUGUCUAAGUUUUAUUUCUUUACACGUUUAGGGGGAUCGAUUUUUAUUAGACGUGUCCAUCAUAUCGGAUCGUGUCCAUAAUG